CAAAAACAUAGCAAGAUGAAGAGCUAUCUUGUUAGUUCUGCUCAAUGAAUAAUUAAAUAGCCGCAGUACCCUGACUGUGCAAAGGUAGCAUAAUCAUUUGGCUUAUAAUUGAAGUCUUGUAUGAAUGAAUUUCUGGGGAUUGACUAUAUAAGAUGUUUUGCGUAAACUUACUAAAUAGGUGAAAAUUCCUAUAUAUAAUAAAUAGACGAGAAGACCCUAGAAAUUUACGUAAGGUUUGUUGGGGCAACAGUGUACCAAAUAAAGUACAGACUUUUACAUAUCAUUUCUAUGUUUAAUGGAAAAAUUACWCUAGGGAUAACAGCAUAAUUUCUAAAAGUUUGUGACCUCGAUGUUGGACUAGGAACUUAUUUCCAAGAAGGAUUUUAUCAUGCUCUGUUCGUGCG
rnacentral:rRNA from 1 species